UACACUACCUAAUUUCUGACAGUACCAACUGAAACACAAACAAUCUGGGUAAAAUCUACUUGAAGACAUUAGGCCCACACUGCCCCUUUGCGCAUGCGUCUGCGGUGAUUCUUGGCUGCAGGCCAGAGGAACGGUUCUCUUUCGCGCCUCCCUCCUCCUGGUGUGUGGAAAUGUUGUAAGACAAUUUGGAGUGGAGUGGAGGUGGUGACCCUCAGCCCACGUGUCAGUGUCUUCAAGGAGAGAUGGCCUGGUUUAUUCAAUGAGGCUUAGAUCAAGGAGGAGUUCCGACACAUAACAACUCUUUCACUGGAAGAGACUUUGAUGCUGAAACUGGAUGGGUACACUAACACCACUCGCUCCAGCUGAUGCGUGCCAAAGGAGGAGAUGCUGGCUCCAGGAUGCGCCCUCUUCUGAGCACAAUUGAUGAGGCCCAGAGUGUUGGGAAAAAGGGAUGCAGUGGCCAGGUGUCUGAUUGAAGACCUUGGGGAACGCCAAGAAGACCUUUUUCAAGACAGCCAGGACGAGCAUGACAACGUCGUGGACCAAACUAUGAAGGUGCUUGUGAUCCAUGAUGCCAGGGACGGGACCAGCAGAUGUGUCCAUUGUCAUAGAGGGAGAAAGAGUUUUGUGCGGAAAGGUCCAGAGCCGCAAAUAAACAAUUUGUUCUGAAGUGGAUGUUGACUUGUUUUAGUGCCGAGUGACACAAACACAACAUAAUGAGAUGUGGAAUGUAAUGGAUGUGGAGAAACCUUGUUCUGUUAAAAGUGGACUGUUUACUGGCACGUAAAGGUUUUAAUAGUUGAGUAAAUUGCACUUGGAAGAUUAUGUUAAAAAUGUUUACAAUUUCCAUGCACUUUACUGUUAAAACAAUGUGAUUGUAUAACUAUUUUGAAGAUUCUGCUCGGUGUUAACAAUUGAAAUGCACUUAACUGUUUAAAUAAUCUCAAUGUAUGACCAUAUUGCACUUAUACAUUUGGUCAAUAAAAAAAACAUGAUCAAUAAAA